GAUGAACGCUAGCUACAGGCUUAACACAUGCAAGUCGAGGGGCAGCAUAUUUAUAGCAAUAUAAAUGAUGGCGACCGGCGCACGGGUGAGUAACACGUAUCCAACUUGCCGUUUACUCGGGGAUAGCCUUUCGAAAGAAAGAUUAAUACCCGAUGGUAUAUAUUGAUUUCAUGGUCUUUAUAUUAAAGAAUUUCGGUAAAUGAUGGGGAUGCGUUGCAUUAGGCAGUUGGCGGGGUAACGGCCCACCAAACCUACGAUGGAUAGGGGUUCUGAGAGGAAGGUCCCCCACAUGGGAGCUGAGACACGGUCCAAACUCCUACGGGAGGCAGGAGUGAGGAAUAUUGGUCAAUGGGCGUAGGCCUGAACAAGCCAAGUAGCGUGAAGGAUGACUGCCCUAUGGGUUGUAAACUUCUUUUAUAAGGGAAUAAAGUGGAGUAUGUAUACUCUUUUGUAUGUACCUUAUGAAUAAGGAUCGGCUAACUCCGUGCCAGCAGCCGCCGCGG
rnacentral:rRNA from 1 species